UGCAGUGGUUGACCAGGGAAUCUUUCGUGUCUUGCCACGCUCUCAGUAUACCACGUCGCUUGCAGAAACUGCCUUCAUGACCGUUGGUUCUAUUUUAAUAGAUCUCAUCUGCUCACUCCGCCAGAGUCUGUCUUCACAUGCUCGGGAUAGACAAAUCACUUGCUCACCGAGUGUCGAAGACACAAUGGCUACUCUCUACCUGGUUUCGCCAGUCUGUUGAAGCUGUUGCCCGGGGUGUGGCCGCUGCGCAUGUUAAAGCUACUAGGAGCCAUAGUGCUGGAUCUGGCCUGAAGUAGAAGCUUGAGUUUUCAGAAGUCUCAACCAGCUGCCAUUGCCCAGGCCUCUAUGUCAACCCUAGCAUCACUGCUGCCACUGAGGAAUGCUGCCUAACUUCCCAAGCCUGCCUAUCUUCCUCCUGAUCCAGACCACCCUGCACAGUGGCUCUCAGGUGCAGCACCAGACCUGGGCCUCCAGUAGAGGCCUAGAGCUUUCAGGAGUCUCAUUCAGCUGCCACCACCGCAGGCCUCUUACAUCAACUGUUGCACCAGUGCUGCCCUUCAGAAAUGCCACCUCAUGCCCUUCUUCAAGGUGCACAAGCCUUGGAGAACAGCACAAGUGCCCCCAAUGUUCCUCCAGAUCUGCUGUUCAUCAUUUACCUUUAGGCAUUUUUCUCCUGCUGUUAAGAGGACCGCCAGAACGGGCUCCAAAGGAUAUUGGAGCCAAUAGCAAAAGUUGGACUUUGCAGAAGAAUAGGAAGAGAAUUGACUCCUUUAAAGUUUGAAGAAGAGUCGUGAAAAUACCAUGGACAAUCAAGAAAAAAAUGGAUUAUUGAACAGAUCAAUCCAGAAUUGAGCAAGCAAAAUUAUCCUACUUCAGACAUAUUAUGCAAAAACCUAUUUUCUUGAAGAAAGCUCUGAUGCUGGCAUUGGUGGAAGAACAGAGGAGAAGAAGACUAACAGAAGCAAGCUGAAUGGACUCAGUUACAGUCGCAAUGAGUGCCCAGCUGGAAGACCUGAAGGACCAUGGACAGAUCAUCAUGGAGAAAAUCUGAGAGUCAGCCACAAUGUGAUGGCACAUAAUCAAUCAAUGGAGUCAGAAAUAUCUACUAACAAAAUAAAUAAACUGAAUGACAUUUUAUCGUAGAAACAGAUUUGCAUCAUCCACCCCUUUCCAAGAAUCUUUUAGAGCAGAGAUGGGGAAAUGACUUGUGGACUUUGACUCCCAGAAUUCCUGAGCUAGCAUGAGAGUUGAAGUCCACAAGUCAUAAAAGGGACAUAAUUCGCCACUCCUUAUUUAGAGGGAACUCCAGUUACAAGGUCCAAUCCUAGCUCAAUGCUUUGUGUUUGCAGAAUACUAGAUUCAAUUACUAACUGGUAGCAUAAGAACAACGGAUUGAUAUAGCAGAUAAGACCUAGAAAAUGAGGCAAUACAUGUUUUAUUGCUGCUAUAAACUGAGAAUUUCCUUUUUAGGAAAUUUCUUUCUUAUCUUCACCCCCAUGAUAUGCAGCAUGAGAUAAUUAAAUCGGCUUAAUCAGCAAGACUAUUGUAAAUCCAUUCUGAAGCAAUUUAUUGACAAUACUAGGCACAAACAUUUCUUUGCAUAAAAUAUUCUUCAAUACAUUAUUAAUAUUAACUAAACUAAGCUAUAAAACAGAGAGAGAAAUAAUCCUCUGCAUCCAAACUUAUUUUUUUAAUUUUGCAUCCAAAUUAUUCAGUUACACAAACAUUUAUUGUUAUUAUUAUGGCAGCCUCUGCCACUUUAUAAGAAAGAAUACAGAUUUUUUUUAUUCUUCCCCAGCUAUAUUAAUGCAGUCAACAAUUCUGAAUUGUCUUCUAGGGAUAAGCCACAUAACUUUGUAAAUUUUGGGGCCAUUUGGACACUUGAAUCAUGAUCAGCUAGAAUUACCUUGAGUAUAUCAUCAGCAUAGCAAUGGUUGUCCACCACUCCCACAAAGCAUCCACAAAGAUUUGCUAUAUUAACAAUAAAUAGCUAUUGGUAAUUUGCAUAUAUUAAUGCAUUUAAGCAUGUGAACAUUUCAAAUUGCCCUUAGUGUAACACUGAAGCCACACUUUUUAAAGCUGCAAAAAUGCAGCUGGCAACACAAUGCCAGACCCAUUUUAAACUAUACAGGUGAUAACAGUACUAAAGCAGAGCUUGUCAAGCAUGAGGUUCAUCCCAGCCGACUCUCUAUUAUACUUACAAUUGAAAGGCCUACUGUGGAAAA